ACUGCUCAGUAACACGUGGACAACCUACCCUUAGGACGGGGAUAAACCCGGGAAACUGGGUAUAAUACCCGAUAGGUCUCGAUUGCUGGAAUGCAUCGAGAUUUAAAGCUCCGGCGCCUAAGGAUGGGUCUGCGGCCUAUCAGGUAGUAGUGGGUGUAGCGUACCUACUAGCCUACGACGGGUACGGGUUGUGAGAGCAAGAGCCCGGAGAUGGAUUCUGAGACACGAAUCCAGGCCCUACGGGGUGCAGCAGGCGCGAAAACUUUACAAUGCUGGCAACAGCGAUAAGGGAACCUCGAGUGCCAGGUUACAAAUCUGGCUGUCGAGAUGCCUAAAAAGCAUUUCAUAGCAAGGGCCGGGCAAGACCGGUGCCAGCCGCCGCGGUAACACCGGCGGCUCGAGUGGUAACCGUUAUUAUUGGGUCUAAAGGGUCUGUAGCCGGCCGGAUAAGUCUCUUGAGAAAUCUGGCAGCUUAACUGUCAGGCUUUCAGGAGAUACUGUCUGGCUCGAGGCCGGGAGAGGUGAGAGGUACUUCAGGGGUAGGGGUGAAAUCUUGUAAUCCUUGAAGGACCACCAGUGGCGAAGGCGUCUCACCAGAACGGACCUGACGGCAAGGGACGAAAGCUAGGGGCACGAACCGGAUUAGAUACCCGGGUAGUCCUAGCCGUAAACGAUACUCGCUAGGUGUCGGCCACGGUGCGACCGUUGUCGGUGCCGUAGGGAAGCCGUGAAGCGAGCCACCUGGGAAGUACGGCCGCAAGGCUGAAACUUAAAGGAAUUGGCGGGGGAGCACCACAACGGGUGGAGCUUGCGGUUUAAUUGGAUUCAACGCCGGA
rnacentral:rRNA from 1 species